GGGGAAUUUUCCGCAAUGGGCGAAAGCCUGACGGAGCAACGCCGCGUGAGGGAAGAAGGCCUCUGGGCUGUAAACCUCUUUUCUCAAGGAAGAAGAUCUGACGGUACUUGAGGAAUAAGCCACGGCUAAUUCCGUGCCAGCAGCCGCGGUAAUACGGGAGUGGCAAGCGUUAUCCGGAAUUAUUGGGCGUAAAGCGUCCGCAGGCGGCCUUUCAAGUCUGCUGUUAAAGCGUGGAGCUUAACUCCAUUAAGGCAGUGGAAACUGUUGGGCUUGAGUGUGGUAGGGGCAGAGGGAAUUCCCGGUGUAGCGGUGAAAUGCGUAGAUAUCGGGAAGAACACCAGUGGCGAAGGCGCUCUGCUGGGCCAUAACUGACGCUCAUGGACGAAAGCCAGGGGAGCGAAAGGGAUUANAUACCCCUGUAGUC
rnacentral:rRNA from 1 species